rnacentral:lncRNA from 1 species
AAAAUACUGCCUUAAGAGCUCUGACAUGGCGUCCAACUAGUGCCAAAGCAGAAAUUCCACCACCUCAGCCAAUAAAAGAAUGGCCUCAGACUUCUGGGAAGAAGAAACAUAAAUCAAGAAAAGAGCCACAGAUCUCUUUCUCGGUAUUUUAUACUGACAAAGGAAAAAAUGUGGGUGCAGUUUACAGAAAGUAUCCAAAACCAAAGAGCGUGAGGAGGUCUGUUCCUUCUGCAACACUGCCAAAGGAAGAGGAAAUAUGUUCAAGCAAAGAGGUAUUCAGUUAUUUAUUAAUGUUAUCAUCUUUAUUAGAUCACUUAUGAGAAAUUAAUAUUGAAUGGGA